CCUACGGGAGGCUGCAGUGGGGAAUAUUGGACAAUGGGGGGAACCCUGAUCCAGCCAUGCCGCGUGUGUGAAGAAGGCCCUCGGGUUGUAAAGCACUUUCAGUGAGGAAGAACGCCUGGUGGUUAAUACCCAUCAGGAAAGACAUCACUCACAGAAGAAGCACCGGCUAACUCCGUGCCAGCAGCCGCGGUAAUACGGAGGGUGCGAGCGUUAAUCGGAAUUACUGGGCGUAAAGCGCGCGUAGGUGGCUUGAUAAGCCGGUUGUGAAAGCCCCGGGCUCAACCUGGGAACGGCAUCCGGAACUGUCAAGCUAGAGUGCAGGAGAGGAAGGUAGAAUUCCCGGUGUAGCGGUGAAAUGCGUAGCGAUCGGGAGGAAUACCAGUGGCGAAGGCGGCCUUCUGGACUGACACUGACACUGAGGUGCGAAAGCGUGGGUAGCAAACAGGAUUAGAUACCCGGGUAGUC
rnacentral:rRNA from 1 species